rnacentral:rRNA from 1 species
AGUAACACGUAGUCAACCUACCCUUGUGUGGGGGAUAACUAGCCGAAAGGUUAGCUAAUACCGCAUACGAUCGUCGAGGGGCAUCCCUUAACGAUGAAAGGAGCAAUCCGCACGAGGACGGGACUGCGUCCCAUUAGCUAGUUGGUAAGGUAACGGCUUACCAAGGCUUCGAUGGGUAGCUGGCUUGAGAGAGUGACCAGCCACACUGGAACUGAGACACGGCCCAGACUCCUACGGGAGGCAGCAGUGAGGAAUUUUCCGCAAUGGGCGAAAGCCUGACGGAGCGACGCCGCGUGUGGGAUGAAGGCCCUAGGGUCGUAAACCACUGUCGAAGGGGACGAUAUUGACGGUACCCUUGGAGGAAGCCCCGGCUAACUACGUGCCAGCAGCCGCGGUAAGACGUAGGGGGCAAGCGUUGUCCGGAUUCAUUGGGCGUAAAGAGCUCGUAGGCGGCUUGGCAAGUCAGAUGUGAAACCCUCAGGCUCAACCUGGGGAUGCCAUCUGAUACUGCUAUGGCUAGAGUAUGGUAGGGGACUACGGAAUUCCUGGUGUAGCGGUGAAAUGCGCAGAUAUCAGGAGGAACACCAGUGGCGAAGGCGGUAGUCUGGGCCACUACUGACGCUGAGGAGCGAAAGCGUGGGGAGCGAACAGGAUUAGAUACCCUGGUAGUCCACGCCGUAAACGUUGGGCACUAGGUGUGGGGUCUAUUUCGACGGACUCCGUGCCGUAGCUAACGCAUUAAGUGCCCCGCCUGGGGAGUACGGCCGCAGGGCUAAAACUCAAAGGAAUUGACGGGGGCCCGCACAAGCGGCGGAGCAUGUGGCUUAAUUCGAUGCAACGCGAAGAACCUUACCUGGGUUUGACAUGUAGGGAAAGCCGUAGAGAUAUGGUGUCCGAAAGGGUCCUACACAGGUGGUGCAUGGCUGUC